rnacentral:rRNA from 1 species
UCUUCGGCAAUGGACGCAAGUCUGACCGAGCAACGCCGCGUGAGUGAAGAAGGUUUUCGGAUCGUAAAACUCUGUUGUAAGAGAAGAACGUUGAUGAGAGUGGAAAGUUCAUCAAGUGACGGUAUCUUACCAGAAAGCCACGGCUAACUACGUGCCAGCAGCCGCGGUAAUAUGUAGGUGGCAAGCGUUGUCCGGAUUUAUUGGGCGUAAAGCGAGCGCAGGCGGUUGAUUAAGUCUGAUGUGAAAGCCCCCGGCUCAACCGGGGAGGGUCAUUGGAAACUGGUCAACUUGAGUGCAGAAGAGGAGAGUGGAAUUCCAUGUGUAGCGGUGAAAUGCGUAGAUAUAUGGAGGAACACCAGUGGCGAAGGCGGCUCUCUGGUCUGUAACUGACGCUGAGGCUCGAAA